GACAGAGGUGCCGAGCGUUAGGCGGAAUCACUGGGCUUAAAGCGUGUGUAGGCGGGUCCGUAAGUACCUUGUGAAAUCCCAUGGCUCAACCAUGGAACUGCUUGGUAUACUGCGGAUCUUGAGCCACCUAGGGGCAAGUGGAACAAACGGUGGAGCGGUGAAAUGCGUAGAUAUCAUUUGGAACGCCAAUGGUGAAAACAGGUAGCUGGGGAAGUGCUGACGCUGAGACACGAAAGCCAGGGGAGCGAACGGG
rnacentral:rRNA from 1 species